rnacentral:rRNA from 1 species
AACGAACGCUGGCGGCAGGCUUAACACAUGCAAGUCGAACGGUUGUAGCAAUACAGCAGUGGCGCACAGGUGAGUAACGCGUGGGAACGUGCCCUUCAGUACGGAACAACACCGGGAAACUGGUGCUAAUACCGUAUAUUCCCUUAGGGGGAAAGAUUUAUCGCUGAAGGAUCGGCCCGCGUUAGAUUAGCUAGUUGGUGGGGUAAUGGCCUACCAAGGCUCCGAUCUAUAGCUGGUCUGAGAGGAUGACCAGCCACACUGGAACUGAGACACGGUCCAGACUCCUACGGGAGGCAGCAGUGGGGGAAUAUUGGACAAUGGGGGAAACCCUGAUCCAGCCAUGCCGCGUGAGUGAUGAAGGCCUUAGGGUUGUAAAGCUCUUUUGUCAGGGAGAUGAUGACGGUACCUGAAGAAUAAGCACCGGCUAACUUCGUGCCAGCAGCCGCGGUAAU